rnacentral:rRNA from 1 species
AUUGAACGCUGGCGGCAUGCUUUACACAUGCAAGUCGAACGGUAACAGGCCGCAAGGUGCUGACGAGUGGCGAACGGGUGAGUAAUGCAUCGGAACGUGCCCAGUCGUGGUGGAUAACUACUCGAAAGAGUAGCUAAUACCGCAUACGAUCUAUGGAUGAAAGCGGGGGACCGUAAGGCCUCGCGCGAUUUGAGCGGCCGAUGUCAGAUUAGGUAGUUGGUGGGGUAAAGGCUCACCAAGCCAACGAUCUGUAGCUGGUCUGAGAGGACGACCAGCCACACUGGGACUGAGACACGGCCCAGACUCCUACGGGAGGCAGCAGUGGGGAAUUUUGGACAAUGGGCGCAAGCCUGAUCCAGCAAUGCCGCGUGCAGGAAGAAGGCCUUCGGGUUGUAAACUGCUUUUGUACGGAACGAAACGGCUCUGGUUAAUACCCGGGGCUAAUGACGGUACCGUAAGAAUAAGCACCGGCUAACUACGUG